rnacentral:rRNA from 1 species
CAUUACACAAAUAUGAAGGCGGGCUGGAACCUCUCGGGGUUACAGCCUUGCUGAAUUAUUCACCCUUGUCUUUUGCGUACUUCUUGUUUCCUUGGUGGGUUCGCCCACCACUAGGACAAACAUAAACCUUUUGUAAUUGCAAUCAGCGUCAGUAACAAAUUAAUAAUUACAACUUUCAACAACGGAUCUCUUGGUUCUGGCAUCGAUGAAGAACGCAGCGAAAUGCGAUAAGUAGUGUGAAUUGCAGAAUUCAGUGAAUCAUCGAAUCUUUGAACGCACAUUGCGCCCUUUGGUAUUCCAAAGGGCAUGCCUGUUCGAGCGUCAUUUGUACCCUCAAGCUUUGCUUGGUGUUGGGCGUCUUGUCUCUAGCUUUGCUGGAGACUCGCCUUAAAGUAAUUGGCAGCCGGCCUACUGGUUUCGGAGCGCAGCACAAGUCGCACUCUCUAUCAGCAAAGGUCUAGCAUCCAUUAAGCCUUUUUUUCAACUUUUGACCUCGGAUCAGGUAGGGAUACCCGCUGAACUUAAGCAUAUCAAUAAGCGGAGGAAAAGAAACCAACAGGGAUUGCCCUAGUAACGGCGAGUGAAGCGGCAACAGCUCAAUUUGAAAUCUGGCUCUUUUAGAGUCCGAGUUGUAAUUUGCAGAGGGCGCUUGGCUUUGGCAGCGGUCCAAGUUCCUUGGAACAGGACG